CUUUAAAAGCUCUCUUUGUGCAGUGUUAUCAAGUAAUAAAGAGUGUACAUUUCUCAUAUAAUCUUGCUUUCUCUGUUGUCGCAUGCCAAGCAAGGCGGACCCAAGAUUUGGCUUGGGUGGGCGGGCGCCCCACUAGAAAAAAAAAUGUGGUGUAUUUUUGAGGUACAUGAGUUUGGCUUUGGGAUUUUGGCUUAUCUUGUGAUACUUGAUGCAAGUCAUAUUAAAUAAUGUUUUGGACAAAUUUUAAAACUAUUUUGGGACUAAGUGUACUAAGAUCCAUAAGGAUCAAACAACUAUGUCGUGGUUGUGGUUUGUGUUUGAAACUUUAAACUUUAAGCUUUAAACUUAUGUUUUAAUUAAGGCGUAUGUCCAAAAUUAA